GAAAACGCAGAAAAACCCAAGAUACAUGCUGAUCUACCCACACUUAGAUACUAUAUCUGAGAAACAUAGAAAAUACAAGAUAUAUUCACACGUGUUCUACAAAUUAACAUGACCUCUAAAAAAUAGACCACACGUGGAGUCCUGUGUCCAGUUCUGGGCAUCACAGUUUAAGAAGGAUAUUGGCAAGCUGGAACACAUGCAGUUGAGGGUAACCACGAUGAUCAAGGGUCUGGCCACCAAGCCUUAUGAGAAAUG